UACGGAGGGCGCAAGCGUUGUUCGGAAUCACUGGGCGUAAAGCGCGUGCAGGCGGCUUGGUAAGUCGGAUGUGAAAUCCUGGAGCUCAACUCCAGAACUGCCUUUGAUACUGGAAGGCUUGAGUCCGGGAGAGGUGAGUGGAACUGCGAGUGUAGAGGUGAAAUUCAUAGAUAUUCGCAAGAACACCAGUGGCGAAGGCGGCUCACUGGCCCGGUACUGACGCUGAGGUGCGAAAGCGUGGGGAGCAAACAGG
rnacentral:rRNA from 1 species